CCCAUUGUCUCUUGUCUUCGGAUUUUUCCAGCCUUCAUUUUCUCUGGUUACCCAUUUCUGUCCUGGCUGUUCUCUGGAACCUUUUAACAUUGCUAUGGGUUUGUGGCUCCUUCUCUUGUCAAUCAUUUGCCACCAUCUCAGCCUGCCCUAGUGUGGAGAUCAGGAUGUCACUGCUCCAGCACUUGCCUGCAUGCCACCAUGCUCCCCGGCAUAAUGAUCAUGGACUAAACCUCUGAACCUGAAGAGACUUGCAACUGAGACAAG